GACGAACGCUGGCGGCGUGCCUAAUACAUGCAAGUCGAACGCACUCUCGUUUAGAUUGAAGGAGCUUGCUCCUGAUUGAUAAACAUUUGAGUGAGUGGCGGACGGGUGAGUAACACGUGGGUAACCUGCCCUAAAGUGGGGGAUAACAUUUGGAAACAGAUGCUAAUACCGCAUAAAACCUAAACACCGCAUGGUGUAGGGUUGAAAGAUGGUUUCGGCUAUCACUUUAGGAUGGACCCGCGGUGCAUUAGUUAGUUGGUGAGGUAAAGGCUCACCAAGACCGUGAUGCAUAGCCGACCUGAGAGGGUAAUCGGCCACACUGGGACUGAGACACGGCCCAGACUCCUACGGGAGGCAGCAGUAGGGAAUCUUCCACAAUGGACGAAAGUCUGAUGGAGCAACGCCGCGUGAGUGAAGAAGGUUUUCGGAUCGUAAAACUCUGUUGUUGGAGAAGAAUGUAUCUGAUAGUAACUGAUCAGGUAGUGACGGUAUCCAACCAG
rnacentral:rRNA from 1 species